ensembl:lincRNA
UGUAACUAUAGUGAUGUUUCUGCUUUUGCUUCUAUCAAAAUCCCAAGUUAGACAGAAAAAGAUGAAGCAGAGUGCAGUGGAGGAAGUCCUAGAAGAACUUCUGUGAAAAAUUCCUGUAACAAGUAUGCUGAAGAUUUUGACCCAUGGACUGAGAACAAAAUGCAACUUCAGUUUUGUCUCCCUCUUGUUGUAAUUGUCUUGACCUGUAAUGAUUAAAUGGCUUUUACUUUGACUGGUGCCUCCCAAAUUGACUGUCCUUGCUGGCCUUGAGGGAUGGUAAAAUUCAACUGUUUUUCUUGUCUCUUUGAUCUCUGCAGAG